rnacentral:rRNA from 1 species
UACAGAGGAGCCAAGCGUUGUCCGGAUUGACUGGGCGUAAAGCGCACGCAGGCGGUCGCGCGCGUGGGGUGUGAAAUCUGGCCGCUUAACGGCCAGGCGCCAUCCCAUACGGCGCGACUGGAGUGAUGCAGAGGUCGGUGGAAUUGCCGGUGUAGCGGUGAAAUGCGUAGAUAUCGGGAGGAACACCUGUGGCGAAGGCGGCCGCCUGGUUGGAUACUGACGCUGAGACGCGAAAGCGUGGGGAGCAAACAGG